rnacentral:rRNA from 1 species
AACGUAGGACGCAAGCGUUAUCCGGAGUUACUGGGCGUAAAGGGCGUGUAGGCGGUGCUGCAAGUUCGUCGUGAAAGACCCCGGCUCAACCGGGGGAGGUCGAGGGAGACUGCGGCGCUGGAGGACGGUAGAGGGACAGGGAAUUCCGGGUGUAGUGGUGAAAUGCGUAGAGAUCCGGAGGAACACCAGUGGCGAAGGCGCUGUCCUGGGCCGCACCUGACGCUGAGACGCGACAGCAUGGGGAGCGAACGGG